GCAUAACGUCUGUCCUGGCUGCAUGCUCCAUUCUACUUCCACUUCUAGCUACAACCAGAUAUGUUCAGAACUGGUUCUCCCUUCUUUUUGCGGUGACUAUAAGUGGUCUAUUGGAAGCCUACACUGCCCAACUGGAUAAUGCCUUCAUACCUCUGGUGUUCUAUAGCCUCCUCUGUCUGUGAACACUUAUCUGCUGACCACUUUUCCA
rnacentral:misc_RNA from 1 species